UACAGAGGAUGCGAGCGUUAAUCGGAAUUACUGGGCGUAAAGCGCGCGUAGGCGGCUUUGCAAGCCGGAUGUGAAAUCCCCGGGCUUAACCUGGGAACUGCAUUCGGGACUGCAUUGCUAGAGUAUGGGAGAGGGAAGUGGAAUUUCAGGUGUAGCGGUGAAAUGCGUAGAUAUCUGAAGGAACAUCAGUGGCGAAAGCGACUUCCUGGACCAAUACUGACGCUCAUGUGCGAAAGCGUGGGGAGCAAACAGG
rnacentral:rRNA from 1 species